AGAACUUAAUUCCGUGCUAGUUCAACUUUCUCUUGUUCUUGGCACAGUUAACUAGGAACACAGAAAUAAAGGCGCAGACGAAGAGAGAAACGGAAUAGCGAACCACAGAAGAAACUUUACAAACUCAAAAAAUAGAAGAACGUAAAAUGGUGACGAUUGUCAGUGGCUCCCAACAGUUCCAAUACUUUGCGGGCGGAAUGUCCGUAGGGACGAUCCCAGGAAUUAGUUUCGCUUAUCAGCAGCGCCUUCAUAACGUCGGGAUCUUUCACGCGAAUCAGUUAUUCGUGCAAUACCAUCUACUGCAACAGAAUUAUGCAGCUUUUACAGGUUGGCUGGUAAACACAUGUGGAGCAACUACUCCGCAUGCCAACCUGUGU